rnacentral:rRNA from 1 species
CCCUUAGAUGUCCUGGGCUGCACGCGCGCUACACUGAUGUGUCCAGUAAGCACCUAACCUCUUCCGAAAGGAACGGGUAACCUUUGCAAAGCACAUCGUGAUGGGGAUAGAUUAUUGCAAUUAUUAGUCUUGAACGAGGAAUUCCUAGUAAGCACAAGUCAUCAGCUUGUGUUGAUCACGUCCCUGCCCUUUGUACACACCGCCCGUCGCUCCUACCGAUUGAAUGUUCCGGUGAGCUCUUCGGACUGCGCGGUCUGCAGUUUCUGCGUUCCGUGCGGAAAGUUGCGCAAACCUUAACAUUUAGAGGAAGGAGAAGUCGUAACA